UAGUAAAUUUACCCCCAUCAACAUUCACGCAACGUGCGAUAUUAGAAACAUACCCAUUGGAAAACUUUACAGACGAUACAAACUUUAGAAAAUCUUUUUUGUCAUUCGGUUUCAUGGAAAAAAAAUGCAAGAUCCCUUCUAGCUUUAUCACUGUCCCUGUUCAUCCAUAAACCUCUUCGUAUGCCCAUUCUUUCCAAAUCAAGACGAGCUUUGAUC
rnacentral:lncRNA from 1 species